GCCUGGGUGGCUCAGUCGGUUGAGUGUCCGACUUCGGCUCAGGUCAUGAUCUCACAGUCUGUGGGUUCAAGCCCCGCAUCGGGCU
rnacentral:tRNA from 1 species